rfam:Gloeocapsa sp. PCC 73106 scaffold_00200, whole genome shotgun sequence.
GGAGAGAUGGCAGAGCGGUUGAAUGCGACAGUCUCGAAAAUUGUUACACCUGCAAGGGUGUCGAGGGUUCGAAUCCCUCUCUCUCCG